AGGAGCCGUGCGAGAUGAAAGUCUCAUGCACGGUUUUGCAUGAGAGAAAGAAUCGAGGAAUCCUCUUUUCGACUCUGAC
rfam:Hordeum vulgare subsp. vulgare, WGS project CAJW01000000 data, contig: morex_contig_1512954